rnacentral:rRNA from 1 species
AUUGAACGCUGGCGGCAGGCUUAACACAUGCAAGUCGAGCGGAGUGAUGGUGCUUGCACUAUCACUUAGCGGCGGACGGGUGAGUAAUGCUUAGGAAUCUGCCAUUUAGUGGGGGACAACAUUCCGAAAGGAAUGCUAAUACCGCAUACGUCCUACGGGAGAAAGCAGGGGAUCUUCGGACCUUGCGCUAAAUGACGAGCCUAAGUCGGAUUAGCUAGUUGGUGGGGUAAAGGCCUACCAAAGCGACGAUCUGUAGCGGGUCUGAGAGGAUGAUCCGCCACACUGGGACUGAGACACGGCCCAGACUCCUACGGGAGGCAGCAGUGGGGAAUAUUGGACAAUGGGCGGAAGCCUGAUCCAGCCAUGCCGCGUGUGUGAAGAAGGCCUUUUGGUUGUAAAGCACUUUAAGCGAGGAGGAGGCUACUAGUACUAAUACUACUGGAUAGUGGACGUUACUCGCAGAAUAAGCAUCGGCUAACUCUGUGCCAGCCGCCGCAGUAAAAC